GUGAAUCAUCGAAUCUUUGAACGCGAAUUGCACUCUCUGGUAUUCCAGAGAGUAUGCCUGUUUGAGGGUCAGUUUAAAUAAAAAUCGGUGUGGUUGCUGCCUCUCGUGGUGACGCACCGGCUUUGUGUCGCCUUGCCUUCGGUUAAGUAACCUACAAUUUUGCAUGAUUUUUUCGAACGUGUUUAAAUGAUUUUACGUACGUUUGCGAUAUCGAAUACUAGGUGCGGUCGUCAUCAUGAUCCGCGCCUA
rnacentral:misc_RNA from 1 species